AAGAAACUAGUAGAUUAAUUUGUUUAAGUGUAUGCCAUCCAAAGCCAACCAAAACAAACACCGACCAGUAGACCUAAACUAGCUUGAAAACUAAACCUGGUCCCAAAUUAUAUUGCGAAAGUGCCGUGACGUGUCGAGACAAAAGCCAUUUCCGCCGUGUGGUAGAAAAGAGUGCGACAGAACCGAAAAAACGCACGGAGUGAACGGACGCAGUCAUAGCAGCCGGGGAGCAGAUUUCUGGAGGCCGAGUGUUCAACUUUACAGAAUAAGCCAUUGUUGGCCGAAGCUUACGAAUCUCGCUCCAUAGGGAACGAUCGGGAGUCCGCGAGUUAGUUGCCGGAGUAAGAAGCACGUGGGAUUAGAAGGCAGACUGAGCUUCACCUUUUGGUGCAACACGAAUAUCAGUACUCCGGUCCCUUGCUUCGUGUUUCGCAGACAACUGCCGAUCGCCCAGAAAUCUCCGCCGGCGCACUGUCACGUGGAUUGUGAGUGGUAGGUACGGAAUAAUACUCCAACUCCGCGACAGACAAUAAGACCGUCGUUCCUUCCAGCAGACUCACUCCAAUCUUCAAGCGUCGAACGGGCGGGUCAAAUUCUAGUGCAGGAACCCGAACAAACAAGCAGCCCCGUCACAGGGUAAGAAACGCCGUUUCAGUUUAAUGGAACCUUCUGCUAAUGGAUGGAUUCGUUAGGGCUUUGUUUGUACCCCACAGAUUGCGACUGCGUAACCUCCAAGAAGCGAAGCAGGCGAGCACAUCCGAAUCGGCCCUCGUUCAGACAGCGCGACGUUUCGUACUCCUCGGUACGCAAUCCCUCAGCCAUCGGUCGCCCGCGGCGAUAGCGUCAACUCAGAUCCAGUGGAGAGGACACGGUAGGGCACCCGCGGGAAUUGGAAGGGCAUCGGAAGACAAGCUUUUCUGGUGAGGCCCCGAGUCAACGCAACCCGGGGUGCGGUGCGCCAAACCAACCGCAGGCCAAGUGAAUGCUCGAGGUCCCGCUCGCUCCAGAAGGUCCAACAGAGCAGCACGGUCUACCUCGCUCCUGCCGGCCAAAUAGAGGCCAACGGUCCGGCACGUCACCAGAAGGCACAGUUGAGGGCGCAUGAGAGAAAACGGUCGAAAAGUCGAUCCAACGGUCGGUGAGCGAACUAUACAUAGACUUUGUAAAACGAUGCAUUAAUAUUAAGAAGCAAGCGUAGGGAAAGCUAGGCUCUAAAAUGGGCAAUAAAUUAUAUGUAAGAAUGCUAUAAAUUUGGGUUGCACGUUGUGAUAUUUGGCGUAUUCCUUACACACCGUGGUGGGAAGGUAUGCAGUAAGUUAAC